rnacentral:lncRNA from 1 species
UGAGAUACAAUUGCAAAACAUGUUAGUAGAUUUACCAGUUUUUCUUGUGCUAUAUCACUGGGAUUACAGGUGUGUACUGGCUAAUGAUUACUUAGGUUUACCUACAUAAUUACAGUUUCUUAGCUCAUCAUUUUUUCUUAUAAAUCAGACUUCCCUUUUGAAAUAAUUUCCAUUCUGAAGUGCAAAUAUCCUUUAAAAAUUCCUUUAGACAGUCUAUGUAGAUGUUAAAUUCAAUUUCUAGGUAUCUAGAAAUUAUCUUAUUUCUAUACUUUGCCCCCAUUUUUGAGAGAUAAUUUUGCUAGGUACCAAUUCCAGGUUGAAAAUGACUGUCAUGAUUCUGAAGAUAUGAAUCCACUGUCCUUUGACAGUGUUCUGUUGAGAAAUCUGGUAUCAGCUUAACUGUCCUUUUCCUGUAGAUAAUUUAAAAGAUACAGAAUUUAAUGCAACUUUGCCACUUAUCUGUUACAUCAUCUUAUAACGACAAAACACUAACUUUACAGUUUUGUUGUAAACGUGAAUAUAGCGCUAUACACAUGAUUAUUAUUAUCUACUCUCGACUGGCGUAUUAGUCAACUUGAUGUCACUGUGAUGAAAUACCUGAGAAAAACAACAUGAAGAAGGAAAGAUUUAUUUUGGAUCCCAGUUUCAUACGUUUUAUUUCAUACUUGUUGGGCCACAUGGCUGUGGGCUCAUGAUGAGGCAGAACAUCAUGGUGGGUAGAGUGUGACAGGCAAAGCUGCUCAUCUCAUGGUGGCUAGGAAGGAGCAAGAGAGAAAGGAAGGAUCUAGGGACAAAAUAAACUCUUCAGUCAUGUCCCCAGUUAUCUACAAAAUCACCAGCUGGGGACCAAGUCUUUAGCACAUGGCCUUUCGGGUACAUUUCAUAUCCAAACCGUAAUACCUGGGUAGUUUCUAUGUCAUAUACCAUCUUUUGUUUACUUCCCUCUACACUGAAAGUAACUGUAAUGGGGCAAAUGGGUCAGAUCCAGGAGUGAGAAUUAGAAAUUAAAAGGACAAGCCAGAGCCAUGCAUGGGGGCACAUACCUGUAAUCCAGUUACUUGGGAAACUGAGGCAGUAGCAUUGCAAGCUUAAGUCUGGGUGACUUCGUGAGACCCUGUCUCAAAAUUUAAAGAAAGGACUGGGGAUGCAGCUCAGUGGUAGAGCAUUUGCUUAGCAUGCACGAGUCCCUGGGUUCAACCCUCAAUACUGUAAACAAGCCAGGGCGCAAAGUACAGCUCAGUAGCAGAGGGUAUGCCUAGGAUUUGCAAAAUCCUCUUGAUUUGAUCUCCACACUGCAAUCAGUCAAUAAAACAAUCAAAGCAA